rnacentral:rRNA from 1 species
UACGUAGGGGGCUAGCGUUGUCCGGAUUUAUUGGGCGUAAAGAGCGCGUAGGCGGCCGAGUAAGUCCGACGUGAAAUCUGGAGGCUCAACCUCCAGCGGUCGUUGGAAACUACUCGGCUAGAGUCCGGAAGAGGAGAGUGGAAUUCCUAGUGUAGAGGUGAAAUUCGUAGAUAUUAGGAAGAACACCAGUGGCGAAGGCGGCUCACUGGCCCGGUACUGACGCUGAGGCGCGAAAGCGUGGGGAGCAAACAGG